rnacentral:rRNA from 1 species
AUUGAACGCUGGCGGCAGGCUUAGCACAUGCAAGUCGAGCGGGGUGAUGGUGCUUGCACUAUCACUUAGCGGCGGACGGGUGAGUAAUGCUUAGGAAUCUGCCUAUUAGUGGGGGACAACAUCUCGAAAGGGAUGCUAAUACCGCAUACGUCCUACGGGAGAAAGCAGGGGAUCACUUGUGACCUUGCGCUAAUAGAUGAGCCUAAGUCGGAUUAGCUAGUUGGUGGGGUAAAGGCCUACCAAGGCGACGAUCUGUAGCGGGUCUGAGAGGAUGAUCCGCCACACUGGGAAUGAGACACGGCCCCGACUCCUACGGGAGGCAGCAGUGGGGAAUAUUGGACAAUGGGGGGAACCCUGAUCCAGCCAUGCCGCGUGUGUGAAGAAGGCCUUAUGGUUGUAAAGCACUUUAAGCGAGGAGGAGGCUCUUUUGGUUAAUACCCAAGAUGAGUGGACGUUACUCGCAGAAUAAGCACCGGCUAACUCUGUGCCAGCCGCCGCCGUAA